rnacentral:rRNA from 1 species
AAUCGUACCCCAAACCGACACAGGUGGUCAGGUAGAGAAUACCAAGGCGCUUGAGAGAACUCGGGUGAAGGAACUAGGCAAAAUGGUGCCGUAACUUCGGGAGAAGGCACGCUGACACGUAGGUGAAGUGAUUUACUCAUGGAGCUGAAGUCAGUCGAAGAUACCAGCUGGCUGCAACUGUUUAUUAAAAACACAGCACUGUGCAAACACGAAAGUGGACGUAUACGGUGUGACGCCUGCCCGGUGCCGGAAGGUUAAUUGAUGGGGUCAGCGCAAGCGAAGCUCCUGAUCGAAGCCCCGGUAAACGGCGGCCGUAACUAUAACGGUCCUAAGGUAGCGAAAUUCCUUGUCGGGUAAGUUCCGACCUGCACGAAUGGCGUAAUGAUGGCCAGGCUGUCUCCACCCGAGACUCAGUGAAAUUGAACUCGCUGUGAAGAUGCAGUGUACCCGCGGCAAGACGGAAAGACCCCGUGAACCUUUACUAUAGCUUGACACUGAACAUUGAGCCUUGAUGUGUAGGAUAGGUGGGAGGCUUUGAAGUGUGGACGCCAGUCUGCAUGGAGCCGGCCUUGAAAUACCACCCUUUAAUGUUUGAUGUUCUAACGUGGACCCGUAAUCCGGGUUGCGGACAGUGUCUGGUGGGUAGUUUGACUGGGGCGGUCUCCUCCUAAAGAGUAACGGAGGAGCACGAAGGUUGGCUAAUCCUGGUCGGACAUCAGGAGGUUAGUGCAAUGGCAUAAGCCAGCUUGACUGCGAGCGUGACGGCGCGAGCAGGUGCGAAAGCAGGUCAUAGUGAUCCGGUGGUUCUGAAUGGAAGGGCCAUCGCUCAACGGAUAAAAGGUACUCCGGGGAUAACAGGCUGAUACCGCCCAAGAGUUCAUAUCGACGGCGGUGUUUGGCACCUCGAUGUCGGCUCAUCACAUCCUGGGGCUGAAGUAGGUCCCAAGGGUAUGGCUGUUCGCCAUUUAAAGUGGUACGCGAGCUGGGUUUAGAACGUCGUGAGACAGUUCGGUCCCUAUCUGCCGUGGGCGCUGGAGAACUGAGGGGGGCUGCUCCUAGUACGAGAGGACCGGAGUGGACGCAUCACUGGUGUUCGGGUUGUCAUGCCAAUGGCACUGCCCGGUAGCUAAAUGCGGAAGAGAUAAGUGCUGAAAGCAUCUAAGCACGAAACUUGCCCCGAGAUGAGUUCUCCCUGAGACUUUAGGUCUCCUGAAGGAACGUUGAAGACGACGACGUUGAUAGGCCGGGUGUGUAAGCGCAGCGAUGCGUUGAGCUAACCGGUACUAAUGAACCGUGAGGCUUAACC